AGGUACCUGAAGCAGAGAGAGGAUAGAGAGGAGAGGGAUGGACUCCUGCACCUGACCUCUUGGACUGGUUGGAAAAACUGAUUCAACAGGAAGUCAAGAGCUCCGACUCCAAAAGCUGACCUUUGGUGUGCGGAAUCCUGGCUCUGCUGCUCACUCCUUAGAUAAUCUCAGGUCACUACACUCAAGCCGUCAAGAGAUGAAGAGAGGAAUAACUGCCUCCCUUCAGUUUCCCUCGUGGGAGCAAAGGCUAGUGAAGUCUUAUGCUUGAGGGAAAAAGAAAGACAGACUUCUUUUGGGUGAGAUUGUGGAGAGGGUGACCGGCAACGAAGAUAAAUUUCCACCUCAAUCAAUAAA
rnacentral:lncRNA from 1 species